UUUCAAUACUGGUUCGCUUUAUUUUAUACUUCAUUUCUAUUAUUAACCUUCAUAUUUGUCUAUCGGUAUUAAGUGAAAUUGUGUAUCCUUAGAACCUCAUUAUAAGUUUAGUUGUUAUCUAAUUUUAAGGGUAAACAGUUUGAUGCCCACCGUGGGGCUAAGGAUAAAAGUGAUUGCUUAAUACUAAUUUCGAUAACACACACUGCUUUACACUUUUUCUCGUAAGAAUCUUUGUUUUUAGGAUAAACAUGUCAAACUUGCAAGUAGCACCUACACAUGGUGACAACAGUCUCGGAUUUCACGGGGAAAACGACAACAUAACCGCCCCAGGAAUCGAGGUGCCUCAGGACGACCUUGAGGGAGCACCAAUUGGCUGCAAGUGGAUUUACAAGAUCAAGCAUAAAGCAGAUGGCUCGGUAGAUAGAUGCCUUCCGCUGCACCAUAACACUAACUUGACUUUCUGUUGCUUGCCACAAUCCUUUGUAUGAUAAAGUAACACCAACCAAUACUAGCAGGGACUAAUUCAGGUCAUCUGUCAGGACGAGAAUGUGAGUUCUUCUUAUUAUCGGUGAGCCAGAAGAGGAUCCCAGGAAAUUUAUUCGAACCUAAUUCUUCCGAAAUUUUCUAUUCCAAUCAACGGCCUCUUACCAGGUGAUACUGAGGAGGGCCGGACCCUUUUUUAUUUGUUUCUUAGUAAGCCUCGAGAUCUUACAGAUGCUGUUGAGAAUCGUCAUUAACCAAUCAUGUAUCGGACGCACCAUCCCUUGAAGUAAGUAAAGGGCGCAAAGAUGCGGAUUUGACCCGCACCCUCUUUCUUUUUCUUUAAAUAAAGAAAGUGGUUGAAUACCAGGCUGCCGUUAAGGUAGCUCACCCGGCUCAACAAUAGAAAUCCCUGCAGUUCAGUCACCCGCGGCUAAUUCAAUUCACUCUUCUUGAAGCUCUUGAAGAAGUAUGUCCUUGAUUUGAAGAAAACAGGGAUGUUAGGUUGCAAGGCCGCAAUUAGCCCAAUAGAAGAAAAUCAUAAGCUUGAAGAAAAGAGAAAAGAACCCUUGGAUGAUGCAGGCAUCAGAGGCUCUCCGAAUGCUUCUACGAUCCGGAAGUUCUCGCGAAGAGAAUAAGAUGCUGCUCCCCUUCCCUCUUUCUUUUCCCGCUUUGCUAAUCUUCCCCUCUAACGCGGGCCGGGCGGCGACGGGCGCGGGAGGAAGAAACCUAAGAGAAGACGCUCCCCAAAAAGUGGAUCCCGCUCUAAUAGCUCCGAAUAAAUUAAAUACGUGCAUUAAGAUACGAAGGCUUCUCGAGCUGUUUGAUAGUGACUUCUUUCGUUUGGUAGGGCGACGAAAGGCUACUUCAAUGACGGAAACAGCCGGAAACUCGAGAGGGUCAGCGCUCUUUGGACUUUUCAAACUUAGCGAACUGAAACAUCUUAGUAGCUAAAGGAAGGGAAAUCAACCGAGACCCCGUUAGUAGCGGCGAGCGAGAGCGGAUUGGGGGUUUGAAGAAAAACAAACACGAAGCUUCGUUCCUCAGCAAAGUGUUCACUUCUUUUUCGCCAGGUUUCAUUCGAUUUGUUGUGGAUUGGAUGAUGGAAAAACCAGCAAGCUAAGAGAGAUUGGAAAGGUUUAAAUAAGAGUGUGCCUAGCGUCUUUCGCUCUCUCUUAUUAGAAGAAGGAAGGGGCGCGACCCCACUCAGCUCGAAGAAGUAGCUCUUUCAACUAAUCCAUACUUUUCCUUUCCUUCUCCUCGCUACUGUAAAAAUGUUGAAUUUCUUUUUUUACACUGGCGCGUACUUCCCUUUUGGGCCGGUUGUGGGCGAGGAGGGAUUCGAACCCCCGACACCGUGGUUCGUAGCCACGUGCUCUAAUCCUCUGAGCUACAGGCCCCACCCCGUCUCCACUGGAUCUGUUCCCGGGAGUACCCUCAAAAAAAGGAACCUUUCGUCUCCCCAGCCAUUUCGGGUGGUCGACGAUCCCUUGAAAAAAGUCCUUUGUUGAGCCGGCUUUCGCCCCUGACAAAGGACUUUCCCUGGGUUGGGACUCUUUGGACAGGACUAGUUGCUUCAAAUCUGUUUGGAAACAGAGCUCUUUUAUCGCGGAAUUAGACCUGCGAUUAACGUCGGCUUAUCUGUCAGUCGCGUCGGGUCUGCCGCUCAGUUGAAAACUAUGAAACAAGUCUGCGGUAGUUCUGAGCUUUGGUGAGGUAUGCUAAGCAAGAUAGCUCAUUUCUUGGAUAAGGGCUCUAUAUAGCCUUAGAAUGCCGUCUUCUGGUCCUCAUGUAGAGUCCAGCUCGUGAAAGAGUUUGUGAGUAUACCUCGGGAUGACUUUUUAUCCACUACUCAUCCUCGAAAUCUAGUCUAGUUUGUCCACACUAACAAUCCAUCCUUCCCCUCCAAAAGGGGAUUUUAGUAAAUAACCAAAUAUGAUACUCGGGCUAAGGGUCAAGUUGGUAAUUUUUCUUACAUCUCCUCCUCCCGGAGCCCAGGUAUCAUAUACGCCCCCAAAAU
rnacentral:lncRNA from 1 species